rnacentral:rRNA from 1 species
GUAGGGAAUCUUCGGCAAUGGACGAAAGUCUGACCGAGCAACGCCGCGUGAGUGAAGAAGGUUUUCGGAUCGUAAAACUCUGUUGUUAGAGAAGAAUGUUGAUUAGAGUGGAAAAUUAAUCAAGUGACGGUAUCUAACCAGAAAGGGACGGCUAACUACGUGCCAGCAGCCGCGGUAAUACGUAGGUCCCGAGCGUUGUCCGGAUUUAUUGGGCGCAAAGCGAGCGCAGGUGGUUUAAUAAGUCUGAUGUAAAAGGCAGUGGCUCAACCAUUGUGUGCAUUGGAAACUGUUAGACUUGAGUGCAGUAGAGGAGAGUGGAAUUCCAUGUGUAGCGGUGAAAUGCGUAGAUAUAUGGAGGAACACCGGUGGCGAAAGCGGCUCUCUGGACUGUCACUGACACUGAGGCUCGAAAGCGUGGGUAGCAAACAGGAUUAGAUACCCUUGUAGUCC